GUGCCCCCUUAGUUUUAAAGGGGGGGGCCCCACUUUUCCCCCGCCCGGCCCCCUUUUUUUCGUAUUAGUUUUUGAGAGGGGGGGUUACAAAAAAUCCAUUUUUGGUCUAAAUUUUUCCGGGGGGGAGGGGAAACGGGACCCCCAAGAGGAACCCGAACAGUUUUCGUAAAAAAACCCUGUUUUUUAAAGGCCUUGUAGUUUGGAGCCCGGGUUUUAGUAUGGGGAUAAGCUCCCAGGCAUGUAGUGCGCCUGGAGGUAUUGCCCAUGGAUGGACCGGCCAAUUCUAGGGAGCGCAUAGGAUCUUCCACAAUGGACGAAAGUCUGAUGGAGCAACGCCGCGUGAGUGAAGAAGGGUUUCGGCUCGUAAAACUCUGUUGUUAGAGAAGAACAGCCGUGAGAGCAACUGCUCACGGUAUGACGGUAUCUAACCAGAAAGUCACGGCUAACUACGUGCCAGCAGCCGCGGUAAUACGUAGGUGGCAAACGUUGUCCGGAUUUAUUGGGCGUAAAGGGAGCGCAGGCGGUUUAUUAAGGCUGAUGUGAAACGCUUCGGCUUAACCGGAGAAGUGCAUCGGAAACUGAUAAACUUGAGUGCAGAAAAGGAUAGUGGAACUUCAUGUGUAGCGGUGAAAUGCGUAGAUAUAUGAAGGAACACCAGUGGCGAAGCGGUUAUUUGUCGUAACGACGUGAGGCUGAAAGCAUGGUAGCAACAGGAUUAGAUACCCUGGUAGUCCAUGCCGUAAACGAUGAAUGCUAGGUGUUGGAAGGUUUCGCCUUCAGUCCGCAGUAACGCAUAAGCAUCCGCCUGGGAGUAGACCGCAAGGUUAAACUCAAAGGAAUGGCGGGACCCGCACAAGCGGUGGAGCAUUGGUUUAAUUCGUGGUACGGGAAGAACCUUACCAGGACUUGACAUUUUUUGGCAAUUUAAGAGAUUAGACGUUCCCUUUGGGGACAGAAUGACAGGUGGUGCAUGGUUGUUGUCAGCUUGUGUCGUGAGAUGUUGGGUUAAGUCCCGCAACGAGCGCAACCCUUGUCUUUAGUUGCCAGCAUUAAGUUGGGCAUUUAGAGAGACUGCCGGUGAUAAACCGGAGGAAGGUGGGGAUGACGUCAAAUCAUCAUGCCCCUUAUGUCCUGGGCUACACACGUGCUACAAUGGGCGAUACAACGAGUUGCGAAACCGCGAGGUCAAGGUAAUCUUUUAAAGUCGUUCUCAGUUCGGAUUGCAGUCUGCAACUUGACUGCAUGAAGUUGGAAUCGGUAGUAAUCGUGGAUCAGCAUGCCACGGUGAAUACGUUCCCGGGUCUUGUACACACCGCCCGUCACACCCUGAGAGUUUGUAACACCCAAAGUCGGUUGGAUAACCUUUUUAGGAGUCCGCCGCCUAAGGUGGGACAGAUGAUUAGGGGAAGUCGUAACAGUGCAAUCC
rnacentral:rRNA from 1 species